AUCAGAGACGUGUAUGAAAUCAGAAGCAUAAUAUUGAAAUAUGGACACAUACCUCUUCAUCAAUCAUCAGCAUCUCAAGGCCGAGAAGGAUGCCUCCUUUGGAAUUAUUGCGAGCUUUCCAGAAAUAGAUUAGCUUAAAAAGCAACUGGGAAUCUCCAUGUCCUGAUGAAACCUUACUGAAGAAAGUAGAGAAUGAACUUGGGUGGUGAUGACUGCCGUUUGAUUUGCCAUAAAGCUAGGAAUGGAUUUGAGGAUGUGAGCAAUAGAUUUUUGGCUUGAGGAGGCAUCGUUAUGAUUGAGUAAGAGGAGAGAUGUGGAGAGUUAGACGCCGAUUUGUUUGGAGGAGUAUUAAGUAGUUUUAAUUCUUCAUUAUAGCCGUCGCAGGCGCUAUACGGAUGAGAUAGGAAGACAGUGAGUUCUAGAAGGUCUUCUGUAGACGUCGUAACAAAAUUAGGUUGGAGUAAGAAGAUUGCAAAACAAAUGGGUCAUUAAAGCUAAAGGGCCUAUUACGCAGCACAGAUUCGUGGCCCAACAACUUAACAUUCAUGAUGACAUGGACAAAUGAUUGGUUGCGAAUUUUUUCGCUGAGUGGACAGCUUAAGAGGGCUUCAUAUUCUCCUUUUAAUAGAGAUUAGCUUAAUAAGCAACUGGGAAUCUCCAUGUCCUGAUGAAACCUUACUGAAGAAAGUAGAGAAUGAACUUGGAUGGUGAUGACUGCCGUUUGAUUUGCCAUAAAGCUAGGAAUUGAUUUGAGGAUGUGAGCAAUAGAUUUUUGGCUUGAGGAGGCAUCGUUAUGAUUGAGUAAGAGGAGAGAUGUGGAGAGUUAGACGCCGAUUUGUCUGGAGGAGUAUUAAGUAGCUUUAAUUCUUCAUUAUAGCCAUCGCAGGCGCUAUACGGAUGAGAUAGGAAGACAGUGAGUUCUAGAAGGUCUUCUGUAGACGUCGUAACAAAAUUAGGUUGGAGUAAGAAGAUUGCAAAACAAAUGGAUCAUUAAAGCUAAAGGGCCUAUUACGCAGCACAGAUUCGUGGCCCAACAACUUAACAUUCAUGAUGACAUGGACAAAUGAUUGGUUGCGAAUUUUUUUGCUGACGUGGACAGCUUAAGAGGGCUUCAUAUUCUCCUUUUAAUAGUGUAAGAUGGUCAACAAUGGCUACCCUAGCUCCUUUUCUCUGACUUGAAAUCUGGUGUUUUGCUAAGAUCAUAGUUGCGCGUCUUCUUCGCUUUUGGGAGGCGCCCGUAAUGUGAAGAAAGGAAGUGAGAUCAUGGGAGUGGACAUGGUACUCAUGGCUGAAAAGAUUGCCUAAACAUAUUCACAAGGAGCAACCAUAACUUCAGGCUAAAAUUAUCUAGAAGGAGAUAUUCAACCUGGAGCAAAUAGGACCUGCAUCGACUCUGUCUACUAUGUAGAGCUAGAACUAUGGCAGGAAAGUGUAGCACCAACCACCCACAUUUUGGUGUGAAUUCCAGGUAUUGAAUCUGUUUGAACGUUUGGUAGGAUUUACGCUUCACACACAGCGACAACAGUUUACUAUAUAUAAAUACGAGAAAACCAGAUAUGUUAUUUAGUAUACUUAGGUUAAAUGGAAGCAUAGCUAUAUCAUUCUCGAACAGUAGAUUAACUAUAAAUAACCCAGUGGAAACAUGCCAUCAGAUUGUUUAUUCGCAUGUAUAAUAUCAUUUAUCUCCUCAUAUUGGCAUCUUAGAUACCAAUUUACAUUUUGAUCUUGUUACAAUUUUUCAGAAAAAUAUAAACCUCUGAAAUCAUAACCCCUAGAAAUAAGGUCAUAACUUUGAAUAAAAAAAUAAAAAAAACAGAGUAAACCUGUGAUACAAAGAGGAAGUCCUUAGAGGUUAUGAUCUUAUAUAUAAAGGUAUUUUGCUUCAGUGAUACUCCCCAAAGUGAACCCACAAGGAUAUUUCAGUCAGUAGCUUUGAUUGUGCCGAGCAGUCUUUAUUUCAUCUAACGCCAAGGUUGUUUAGCAUGUCCAGAAGUUUCUCUUCGCAAGGAAAUGUGAAGAUAUUAACAAAUUAAAUAAUUUUCUUCCUUUGUGAUCGAGAAGGUUUGUGCUUUGGGAACUGUGUUGCAAUCUCUUGGGUAGAAAAACGUAUGGUGGAUUCUGAAACUGUUAAUGUUUGGUUAAUAUGUUAUCCAGUGGAUGACAGUGCGUAGUAUAUUUGGUUGGGCAGGUGAUAUUCAAAUCCUCUAACUUGCUGUUAAAUGAUGAUUUUCAGAAAAUGUCGGACCAUGGGCUGGCAAAUAGAAGGAUCUCAGAGAGACAAUACUCACGUCACAGCUGCAGUCCUUCUUGAGUUAAUUUUGCCAUUAGUUAUAGUGGUAUGUAUUUAGUUAGGUUUAUUAUGUUGUACAUAGUUUUAGAUGAUGAAAUGUUCCAAAACAAAAGAUGAUGAAUCGUUUAAUAGUUCUUCUUCUUCACAUUUAUUUUCGUUCAAAAUAUAUAAAUUGGAACACAUGGCUAUACAGCUCCUAAAUACGUGCAAACAUGCCAUCUUCUGUUAAAGACGGAUCUCUACAACUUUGGUAUUGUGCUCAACCAGAUCAUAACCCGCCGCCCGAACCAAUGAGAGAAACAAAAACUAAGGCUAUUGGAUUAGGUACGUAAAAGAGUAUACUUCUAAUUGUCAACGCUUCAGCAUGAUCGAUUAAUGGCUCCGCAAUAACUAUGCAGCUGCAAGAGCAUGGAUUUUUUUUAAAGAGCUUGGAGUUUGGCUAGACUUGCUGGUCUUUGUUUCAAAAAAGAACGCUAAAGAACGGCCCAAGAUGAAGGCUAUAGUGGAAAACUUAAUGACAUGAUCGGAGAAUCAGAGAGUGAGAUUGCUAGAUGGCCAUGAGUACGGAAAGUAGUGAGGUACUAAGCAAGCGAGCCACAUGACAUGUGAAGGGGUUGAGUUAUUGUUAUAGUACAAUUUUUGAGUUUUGAAGUUUUUUGCAUGUUCCAUACUACAUAUAUAUAUCAAUUAAAAUCAUUUUUGUUGUU